rnacentral:rRNA from 1 species
GACAGAGGAUGCAAGCGUUAUCCGGAAUUAUUGGGCGUAAAGAGCUCGUAGGUGGUGUGUCGCGUCGGAUGUGAAAUCUCGGGGCUUAACUCCGAGCCUGCAUUCGAUACGGGCAGGCUCGAGUUCGGUAGGGGAGACUGGAAUUCCUGGUGUAGCGGUGAAAUGCGCAGAUAUCAGGAGGAACACCGGUGGCGAAGGCGGGUCUCUGGGCAGUAACUGACGCUGAGGAGCGAAAGCGUGGGGAGCGAACAGG